GGUAAUGAUAGUACAAGUUUUGAACAGUUUAUAAAUAAGCAAGAUAAAACAGCAAAAAAGUUUAAUAGUGUGUUGACACUGUGCAGAUGCGGAUGAUGAUGCAAUGUUUGCGUUCAUCAACACAUGAACAAGAAGAUGCAGCCAUGUCAACAGCACUCCAAUUUUUAAAGAAAAGGGUGACUUUCAAAAUUUUCAAAAGAGUCAUU
rnacentral:misc_RNA from 1 species